GGAGAAACAGGCAUGGAACAGAACACGCUGGAUCCCCAUUCCCAUUUUAUGAGGCAUCUCAGAGAAGAUGAGAGCAAAUGGACAUUUUUUCAAGCAUCCACUAGGCAUCAACUGUUCUGCUGGGCACUGUACAUAUUUAUUAUGAUCCAAUCUUCAUACUUCUACUAAAAUCAUCCUCACUCUCAGAGAAUGGAGCCAUCACCCAUCCAGAGGCACAGGCUGGAUACUUGGAGUCAUCCUCCGCCAUCUGUCACUUUCACCUGUAAGUGGCAUCUGCUGUCAAGUCCUUCUGCAUCACCCCACUAGAACUUCUGGGAUUCAUUUGCUGCAUCCCAGGCCCAUUGCCCCGUAGCCUCCUGAUGCAUCUUCCUGUCUCUACUAGUGCCUCUCCCACCCAUCCUCCAUGCUGCAGUCAAGGUCUCCCAGCCAAAGGCCUUCAGCAACUCCCCACUUCUGCUGCAAGUUGGUUGGGAAUCUUCGCCAAUCACAGAAAUACCCGUGGAUGCUUGUGAUGCAGUCUUCCCCUUCCCUACUCAGAAGUGCCUCCUCAGAGGGCAGGUGGCCCAGGCAUCAGAAAAUGGCAACCUGUUUUACUUCUGAACCUGUAAAUGCAGAGAGCAGUCUGGGAGGGUGGCUGUGCUGAUGAAAGGCAGAGAUGGCCGCGGAUGUCUGCAUGAAUCACACAGGGCUGUGCAGCAGCCAAAAGUCUCUUCAAUCUCUGUGAUUCAUGCAGAUGCCAAUGGCCAUUCUUUGUCCCUCUCUAUUCAUUUUAUUCAUCCAAUAAGCAUUUGUCAACGCCCUACUCCAUGCCAUCCUCCUCCUGAGGAUCCCACAAGCCCUGUUUUGUUCUCUUCUUUUAGCAACAAAUCUCUGCUAACAUCUCCAAUGCCCAUUCACACUGGAUCAGGCGAUUCCUGAUUGGUAGGUUGUGCUCAUGGAACCCCUCUCCCCAGCCAUCAUUCACCUGCAUCCAAGUGCAUCAUCAAACCCCUGAGUUGCUCUUACCCUGAGGAAAGAAUCCAAUGCACCAUUCUCCAU
rnacentral:lncRNA from 1 species